rnacentral:rRNA from 1 species
GACGAACCGUGCGAACGUUGUUCGGAAUCACUGGGCUUAAAGGGCGCGUAGGCGGCUUGCCAAGUCAGGGGUGAAAUCUUUCGGCUUAACCGGAAAAGUGCCCUUGAUACUGGUAGGCUCGAGGGAGGCAGGGGCAUGUGGAACUUCUGGUGGAGCGGUGAAAUGCGUUGAUAUCAGAAGGAACGCCGGUGGCGAAAGCGACGUGCUGGACCUCUUCUGACGCUGAGGCGCGAAAGCUAGGGGAGCAAACGGG